UGCGUUGUUGCUGGAACCAGGUUCAAGUAAUCCAGGAUAGGCUUUCUGCAUCUGAUUUGGCCUAUACUUGAUUACUUGCACUUGGAACCAGUUCCUGACCCA
ensembl:miRNA mir26-3 microRNA mir-26-3